ACCACCAUCAGAUUGUAAAAUAGCAUGCACAGCACUUGAGCAGGAGCAAGAACCACGUCCCACAGCUGCUGCAGGCACUGACCUCCUGCUACUGCCAUUCCAGCUCUGAUCAAUGUCACCGAGCAGUUGAUUUCUGCGGCUGCUAAUUCAUAUGCUUUUCCACAUCGACUUAAAUACAGAGGAAAGGAUAUGACAUAAAAUUGUGAACAUGAGGAAUAUGCCAUAAAUGUUAGUAAUGUAAUGGCUCAAGUUAUUAAUGUUAGGGCUUUUACUGUUUGUUUCUCUUGACCUUACCUGGAGCAUUAUGCAAGGUAGGAUGAUCAUUUCUCAACACAUUUUUCUUACUGAAAUCAAUGACGUAAGAAGUUUGCUGGAAUUUAUCAGGACUGAUUUUUGUUGUUUUUUUUUUUUUUUUUUCUUUUCUUCAAACUCUGGAAAAAUCUGGGGAGUUUUCAGUUUCAUGUAGAAAUUUCCAUGUAGGGCGCACAUAUCAACACAUAUCAUAGUGGACUUUGGCACACAUAACAACCUGAAACAGAUUACUUUGUUUUCAAUGAGGAAAAUGAGCAAUUUAGCAUUUAAACAUGUAUACAAAUAAACAUUUAAAAAUGUUUAAAUUUCACUGUGAAGUAACACAUUUUAAUAUUUAAUGUUGAUUUUUUUUUUUUUCUCCUUGAGCUAUUUUUUAUCCCUCUGUGGCCUCCUGCUAUGGCCUAUUCAACUCUACUGAAAAAAACAACAGGUCAUGAUGAUACUUGUGAAUCUCUGGGAAAGCAUCAGCAGGAAGGAGGGAAGACAAGACUGAGAACACUCCCAGCCCCCUGGCAGAGAGCUGUGGGUUUUAUGGAGGGUGAGCUUCCUGCAAGUCGUAGAUACAAAUGGACAGCAAGGAGCAGACACGCCUGCCCCAGGCAAUCUGGAAAGUAACACAGUUUACAAAGCUUUCCAUCUCUUCCAUUCCGAUGUCUGUACGAACUCAGCGCAAAACCACUUUUCUGGGCAUCAUCUGCAUCUUUCACUACAUAUUUUUGAUCACGUAUUCCUAGGAAGCCAAAUUCAGCAUUGCCUAAACUCAGAAAACUCAUUAAAAAGUUUUUUGUGGUGUGUGGUUUGUUUUUUCUUAUUGCAUCCCUUCCCCAGUACACAUUUACUGAUGCUUAGAAAGAUGUCCGCUGCUGUCCUCUAGGUGGUCACAAAAAAAUUAGGGUAGGUGAGAUUGGAAGUUCAUAUACACCCUCCUUUGCUCACUGUAUUAAAUUAAGGGAUUUCAACAUUCACAAAGGGAAGGGAGCUGAAAUUCUCUGCUUUUACAGAAGCUAAAGCAUGCAGUGGCUCUUUCCAGCCUGUGGUGUUCUAAAAAUGAAGGCGAUUUGUGUUCUGCCACCCCAGUCUGCAAAUUGCUGUUUAGUCUUAGAUCAGAGAACAGUUUGACAACACCUUGCUGUAAAAAUAAACUGAUAGAUUUGGGUCUGCA
rnacentral:lncRNA from 1 species